rnacentral:rRNA from 1 species
CCUACGGGGGGCUGCAGUGAGGAAUAUUGGUCAAUGGACGAGAGUCUGAACCAGCCAAGUAGCGUGAAGGAUGACUGCCCUAUGGGUUGUAAACUUCUUUUAUAUGGGAAUAAAAUGUUCCACGUGUGGGAUUUUGUAUGUACCAUAUGAAUAAGGAUCGGCUAACUCCGUGCCAGCAGCCGCGGUAAUACGGAGGAUCCGAGCGUUAUCCGGAUUUAUUGGGUUUAAAGGGAGCGUAGGUGGAUUGUUAAGUCAGUUGCGAAAGUUUGCGGCUCAACCGUAAAAUUGCAGUUGAAACUGGCAGUCUUGAGUACAGUAGAGGUGGGCGGAAUUCGUGGUGUAGCGGUGAAAUGCUUAGAUAUCACGAAGAACUCCGAUUGCGAAGGCAGCUCACUGGACUGCAACUGACACUGAGGCUCGAAAGUGUGGGUAUCAAACAGGAUUAGAUACCCUAGUAGUC